GGUCUUCUUCCUCCUGGGCACAUAUACUGGCACGUACAGCCAUGGCUCCUUUCCAUCUUCAAUUCCCGUUAAUUCUGUGACUGUUUCUUCUCGAGUGCAAUACGAAAUUUACUCCUAUUUAGAUGGGCGUUCCAUUCAGCCAAUUAUUUUCCCACUUUAUUGCCUUAAUCUUCCAAACCGUCCAGGUGCACCGAAUGCCACCAGCCGGCAUUGCCAUCCCGAUCUCCCUCCUCAGGCCAUAGAAUUGCGAAACUAGAUGUCCUCCGUGUGCCCCUUGUCCUCCUCCACCACUUUGCUUCAGAAAGUUUGUACUGAUAUGCUCUGUACAGCCCACACCGACCGUGCCAUCUACAGCCUCAAAUUCGAGUUCAUCGCUAUAUCUUGCCGUCUAGAGUGAUCACCACGAAGCUUCCUUGCACCAGAAGAUGUUUCUCAUCAAGGCCUACCUCCAGGACAUGGUCAGACGUGUUUUUGUCGCAGUUGGCCGCGACAUCAACGGAGUUCAUCAGAGCGGUACGUCGCGUACGUUCAUCUUUUGCACCAUUCCUUUUUCUAGUGUGAUGUCCUAAUCAUCGCCUAACUCCAAGACAUGGUGCUGCAUCGUUUUGUCGCUGGGGUUCGCGCCGCCGAUUUGAGGAUUGAUUCCGACGAACCCCAACCUCCGCGAAGAUGUCCGAUGCCGGUCACCACUCUGGCCGCGUGCGUUGCCAUUCCAGGAAAAGGGCAAGGUCGGCAAACACGCCUUUGUUUUCAACAUCUACUGCCGCACAUGGUUGUCCACUUCAUCGAGCCGAGGAACGACCGGAGGAGCACCAGCAUCCGCGCUCGCAACAGCGCCGUCGUCAUCUUGGAACAGCACUGCCACCACCCGUUUGUGCGGAGAGCCACAUGUUUUGAUUGAGAGAAAAGGGAAUGAUCUUCGACUACCAAAAAGGCAAGUGACACACACCAAAAGUCCCAGUUUUAAAUUCUUGCACAGUAGUAUUUUUAUAGUAGACAUGUCUAGGGUUUAUGCUAUUUGCUUUCUAUUAAAUCCUAGUAGUUUAGCUACACCACUCCUAGACUCCCUUAGCCGCCAUUAAAUUUAGUUGUUACCUGCUAUGUCAUGAAAAAGGUUUUGAUAGAGGUUAAGGAAAAACAACUAAGUUUAAUGAAUUACCUGGGUGAAUGGUGGAGUUAUGGAGAGGGUGGCUGUAUCAGGGGGCAAGACCCUGGUGCUAGUGCACACUUGCGGAAAGUCACCCAGGCUUAAAGAGAUUGUAGACAAACCUUGCUCAUUAGCUUCACGUACAACCACAUGCUAUUAUGGCUCUGGCUUGACAAAGUAUGUUGUAUGAACCCGGAUCCUAGGGGCCAGGUGGUGGUAGAGGGAUACUGUAGGUGGGGGCGUGGCCCUUAGGGAAUGGUUCGGGCGAUUACACACAGAAGGUCUCGGCCACGGUCUACACCUGUCCUUAAGCAAAAUGUGCAACGAGGUAGAAGGAUUGACCUGGCCAUGUGGGUAAAGGUGUACAACCUCUCGAGAGUGUAAAAUCUAAGUACUUAGCCGUGUCCCCGGUUAUGGACAACUUGAGCGAACUGACAAGUCCUUGUUCGAAGAUCUCCUCAUCCCAAUUUCUUAAAUAAAAUUUGAUGGGUGAACAAGGGUAGGAAGGUACAUUGGGGUUUUACCAAUGCUACUGUUAAUUUGGUACAUUGGGGUUUUACCAAUGUUACUGCUAAAUUAGAUUGAAAUAAAAUGUUUUGAUAAACGUUAGGGAAAAAUUGGCUUUACGCAAAAUGAACCUGAGCUCUA